CAAAGGAUAUAGCAAUUCACUUUAUUAGAUAUAUUGUAAACGAUAAUUGUGACCAAGAUCAUCCUGUGACGAAGAAAAAGUGGUUGAAGCCAGCAGUCUUUUAUGGCUAAAACGUGUAACAAUUAAUUGCUAAUGCGUCUUGGGGCCCUCGUCACUGUUGAGAAUUAUAAGUUCGAACUUCUGAAAGACUGUUUAUUUGGGAACCAGCGUAAACACCAAAAACGACGUCAGCCUAGAGAUUGAAAGACGAAUCACUCUUGCCAAUUUAGGCUACUUCAGGCUAUGUAGGCAAUUGAUAAAUAAAGCACUACGUUACAA